rnacentral:rRNA from 1 species
GACGAACGCUGGCGGUGUGCUUAACACAUGCAAGUCGAACGGUAAGGCCCUUUCGGGGGUACACGAGUGGCGCACGGGUGAGUAACACGUGAGUAACCUGCCCUCAUCUCUGGGAUAACAGUCGGAAACGGUUGCUAAUACUGGAUAUGAGCCUGCAAGGCAUCUUGUGGGUUGGAAAGAUUUUUUGGUUGGGGAUGGACUCGCGGCCUAUCAGCUUGUUGGUGAGGUAGUGGCUCACCAAGGCUUCGACGGGUAGCCGGCCUGAGAGGGCGACCGGCCACAUUGGGACUGGGAUACGGCCCAAACUCCUACGGGAGGCAGCAGUGGGGAAUAUUGCACAAUGGACGGAAGUCUGAUGCAGCAACGCCGCGUGCGGGAUGACGGCCUUCGGGUUGUAAACCGCUUUCAAUUGUGACGAAGCUUUUUGUGACGGUAGCAGUAGAAGAAGCACCGGCUAACUACGUG